AGAGUUUGAUCAUGGCUCAGGACGAACGCUGGCGGCGUGCCUAAUACAUGCAAGUCGAGCGGUAAGGCUCCUUCGGGAGUACACGAGCGGCGAACGGGUGAGUAACACGUGAGCAAUCUACCCUUCACAUUGGGAUAACUUCGGGAAACCGAAGCUAAUACCGAAUGCGACCAUCGAUGGCAUCAUCUGAUGGUGGAAAGUUCCGGCGGUGAAGGAUGAGCUCGCGGCCUAUCAGCUUGUUGGUGGGGUAAUGGCCCACCAAGGCGACGACGGGUAGCCGGCCUGAGAGGGUGACCGGCCACACUGGGACUGAGACACGGCCCAGACUCCUACGGGAGGCAGCAGUGGGGAAUAUUGGACAAUGGGCGAAAGCCUGAUCCAGCAACGCCGCGUGAGGGAUGACGGCCUUCGGGUUGUAAACCUCUUUCAGCAGGGACGAAGCGCAAGUGACGGUACCUGCAGAAGAAGCACCGGCCAACUACGUGCCAGCAGCCGCGGUAAUACGUAGGGUGCAAGCGUUGUCCGGAAUCAUUGGGCGUAAAGGGCUCGUAGGCGGUCCAUCGCGUCGGGAGUGAAAAGCUGGGGCUCAACCCCAGUCUUGCUUCCGAUACGGGUGGACUAGAGGUAGGCAGGGGAGAAUGGAAUUCCUGGUGUAGCGGUGAAAUGCGCAGAUAUCAGGAGGAACACCGGUGGCGAAGGCGGUUCUCUGGGCCUUACCUGACGCUGAGGAGCGAAAGCGUGGGGAGCAAACAGGAUUAGAUACCCCCGUAGUCC
rnacentral:rRNA from 1 species